GGGGGUCGCUCCAUGGGGAUGGCUGGAGAUGCCAGUGCCUUAGUGGCCGCUGCUGCAAGCCUGAGGACACAGUCUGCAGAUGGAGAGGAGGACAGCUCUUCUGGUGCCAGUCUGGUGGCCAUCGACAAUAAAAUCGAACAAGCAAUGGUAAGUUAAUAUCUUCAUUGUUAAUAUGGGUUAGGGUUAACCCUAACCCAUUGUUAAUAUGGGUUAACCCUAACCCAUUGUUAAUAUGGGUUAACCCUAACCCAUUGUUAAUAUGUAUAUAAUCAAAUCUACAUGACUGAAAGGUGAAAUGUAAAAGUCGACUUCAUUUAAACGGCGUAGGACCGGUGUUCAGAGUCCUGGGCUCUAAUUAGAGUUUAGGAACAUCUGUUCUGGGAGAGAGAGGACCGGUGUUCAGAGUCCUGGGCUCUAAUUAGAGUUUAGGAACAUCUGUUCUGGGAGAGAGAGGACCGGUGUUCAGAGUCCUGGGCUCUAAUUAGAGUUUAGGAACAUCUGUUCUGGGAG